UGGGGAAUCUUGCGCAAUGGGCGAAAGCCUGACGCAGCGACGCCGCGUGGGGGAAGAAGGCCCUCGGGUUGUAAACCCCUUUCGGCAGGGAAGAAGCCGCAAGGUGACGGUACCUGCAGAAGAAGCCCCGGCUAACUACGUGCCAGCAGCCGCGGUAAGACGUAGGGGGCGAGCGUUGUCCGGAUUUAUUGGGCGUAAAGCGCGCGUAGGCGGCUCGGAAAGUCGGAUGUGAAAAUCCGGGGCUCAACCCCGGACCUGCAUCCGAUACUCCCGGGCUGGAGGCAGGCAGGGGAGAUCGGAAUUCCUGGUGUAGCGGUGAAAUGCGCAGAUAUCAGGAGGAACACCGGUGGCGAAGGCGGAUCUCUGGGCCUGUCCUGACGCUCAGGCGCGAAAGCUAGGGGAGCAAACAGGAUUAGAUACCCGCGUAGUCC
rnacentral:rRNA from 1 species